rnacentral:rRNA from 1 species
UACGUAGGGGGCAAGCGUUGUCCGGAUUUAUUGGGCGUAAAGAGCGUGUAGGCGGCCUGGAAGGUCCGUUGUGAAAACUCGAGGCUCAACCUCGAGACGCCGAUGGAAACCACCUGGCUAGAGUCCGGAAGAGGAGAAUGGAAUUCCUGGUGUAGCGGUGAAAUGCGCAGAUAUCAGGAAGAACACCCGUGGCUAAGGCGGUUCUCUAGUACGGUACUGACGCUGAGACGCGAAAGCGUGGGGAGCGAACAGG